rnacentral:rRNA from 1 species
AUUGAACGCUGGCGGCAGGCCUAACACAUGCAAGUCGAACGGUAACAGGAAGCAGCUUGCUGCUACGCUGACGAGUGGCGGACGGGUGAGUAAUGUCUGGGAAGCUGCCUGAUGGAGGGGGAUAACUACUGGAAACGGUAGCUAAUACCGCAUAAUGUCGCAAGACCAAAGAGGGGGACCUUCGGGCCUCUUGCCAUCGGAUGUGCCCAGAUGGGAUUAGCUUGUUGGUGGGGUAACGGCUCACCAAGGCGACGAUCCCUAGCUGGUCUGAGAGGAUGACCAGCCACACUGGGACUGAGACACGGUCCAGACUCCUACGGGAGGCAGCAGUGGGGAAUAUUGCACAAUGGGCGCAAGCCUGAUGCAGCCAUGCCGCGUGUAUGAAGAAGGCCUUCGGGUUGUAAAGUACUUUCAGCGGGGAGGAAGGGAGUAAAGUUAAUACCUUUGCUCAUUGACGUUACCCGCAGAAGAAGCACCGGCUAACUCCGUG